CCUCAAGCCAUCUUUAAUGAUCCAUUCAGAAGGGGCAACAAUAUUCUGGUGAUGUGUGAUGCUUACACACCAGCGAGUGAGCCGAUCCCGAAUAACAAGAGGGACAACGGUUUCAGCUAGGAACAAUCAGGCAUUAGGUUUACCUGUGGUUUCUUCAGUCAGUGUGGCAAAAAAGACGCUCAUUAGCAUCCUUGGUUUUAAUUUGGGUACUUCAGGUGCUUCUAUUCGCCUGAGUAAAUUGGUGUCAAUGAAUGGGGCUUCGGGUGCUUUUAUU